rnacentral:rRNA from 1 species
CCUACGGGUGGCAGCAGUGAGGAAUAUUGGUCAAUGGACGCAAGUCUGAACCAGCCAUGCCGCGUGAGGGAUGAAGGUCUUCGGAUCGUAAACCUCUGUCAGCAGGGAAGAACGGUCACUGUGCUAAUCAGCAGUGAAUUGACGGUACCUGCAAAGGAAGCACCGGCUAACUCCGUGCCAGCAGCCGCGGUAAUACGGAGGGUGCGAGCGUUAAUCGGAAUUACUGGGCGUAAAGCGCUCGUAGGCGGUAUGUCAAGUCAAGGGGGAAAUCCCCGCGCUCAACGUGGGAACUGCCUUUGAAACUGGCAAACUGGAGUGUGUGAGAGGAGAGUGGAAUUCCAGGUGUAGGAGUGAAAUCCGUAGAUAUCUGGAGGAACAUCAGUGGCGAAGGCGACUAUCUGGCACAUAACUGACGCUGAGGAGCGAAAGCGUGGGUAGCAAACAGGAUUAGAUACCCGAGUAGUC